ensembl:snRNA U6 U6 spliceosomal RNA
AGGCUCACUUUGGCAGCACAUACACUAAAAUUGGAAUGAGAGAAAGGAUUAGCAAACUCCCUGCACAAGAUGACAUGAAAACCUGAGGAGUAUUCCAUAUAUUA